CACAAAUAUCUCAUCAUGUCCCUAUGCCUUGGUCUCCUCAUCUGUAAAAGAGAGUGACAAAGAACUAGCUCACCAUGUUUGAGGAUGCAGCAAGCUGGUAGAUUGGCCUUUGGGUUUCCGUGUUUCAGGACUCUUUGGGCCACAGGAUUGAAAGCAGGAGUUCUUCAAGAUCGUUCUCUCUCCCUUUCUGGCCUGGCAUUAGAGAAGAUUGUGCUAAUGGAGGAAGGAGGCAGCCGGGGGAGGCUGGGGAGCAGAAGAGGCCACGGCCCAGGAACAGGUGAGCGGCUGGCCUGUCAGGACCUUGGGCUGUGAGAACAUCAAUACCCAGAGGCCCUUCCAUGACCCCCAGGUGGGUAGUGCCACUGUGCUUCCAGGAUGAGCCUCGCUCACUUCUGACCAAAUGGGUGACUUUCUCCACCAGCCUGGUGAACUGGACGCUCCUAAUCAGAAUUAAUUUGUUUUCAGAAAAAAAUCUUGUGGUGUUUCUUUCAUGCCCAUGUUUGUGGAAUAAAACCCAUCGCCUGCUCCAUACAGAACACUAUCUGAUAAAUGCCCUCCGACAAAAAUGCUAGGUAAAUAGCCACACCUGGACGAGACAUAUCCUGAAAGAACCAGUAGGAGUCAGGAAAUCUCAGUCCUGUUUUUGCCUCUGGCGCUAACUAGCUCCGUGACCUUAAGUCAGUCACUUCCCCGAUCUGUGCUUCCAUUUAUUUAUUGGCUGAAUAAAGAGAACUGGCCUCAAUUCCUGGUCUGUGUUACUGCAAAUUUAGAAUGGAUUUGGGAUACAUG